UACGUAGGUCCCGAGCGUUGUCCGGAUUUAUUGGGCGUAAAGCGAGCGCAGGUGGUUUAAUAAGUCUGGUGUAAAAGGCAGUGGCUCAACCAUUGUAUGCAUUGGAAACUGGUAGACUUGAGUGCAGAAGGGGAGAGUGGAAUUCCAUGUGUAGCGGUGAAAUGCGUAGAUAUAUGGAGGAACACCGGUGGCGAAAGCGGCUCUCUGGACUGUCACUGACACUGAGGCUCGAAAGCGUGGGUAGCAAACAGG
rnacentral:rRNA from 1 species